AUUCCCAUUGAUCGCGCCGGUGCCCCGUAACAGGGGCUUAAUCGGGAAUGCGGUGCGGGGAAGGGAUUGCCUUUCCCAAGUCCGCGGCUGUCCCUGCAACUGUAAGCGGAUAGCGCGAUGCACAGGGCUUUUCAUGCGCCAUGGGCGCCUGGGAAGCAGCCACUGGGCCGAAUGCGGCAUGCCGCGAAGGGCCUGGGAAGGCGUGCAUCAAGCUGUGACCCGCGAGCCAGGAGACCUGCCGGCGUCUGGUCGCUCUUG
rnacentral:ncRNA from 22 species